rnacentral:rRNA from 1 species
UACGUAGGGUGCGAGCGUUGUCCGGAAUUAUUGGGCGUAAAGAGCUCGUAGGUGGUUUGUCGCGUUGUUCGUGAAAACUCACAGCUCAACUGUGGGCGUGCGGGCGAUACGGGGCAGACUGGAGUACUGCAGGGGAGACUGGAAUUCCUGGUGUAGCGGUGAAAUGCGCAGAUAUCAGGAGGAACACCGAUGGCGAAGGCAGGUCUCUGGGCAUUAACUGACGCUGAGGAGCGAAAGCAUGGGGAGCGAAUGGG